GAUGAACGCUGGCGGCGUGCCUAAUACAUGCAAGUCGAGCGAACAGACGAGGAGCUUGCUCCUUUGACGUUAGCGGCGGACGGGUGAGUAACACGUGGGUAACCUACCUAUAAGACUGGGAUAACUUCGGGAAACCGGAGCUAAUACCGGAUAAUAUUUCGAACCGCAUGGUUCGAUAGUGAAAGAUGGCUCUGCUAUCACUUAUAGAUGGACCUGCGCCGUAUUAGCUAGUUGGUAAGGUAACGGCUUACCAAGGCAACGAUACGUAGCCGACCUGAGAGGGUGAUCGGCCACACUGGAACUGAGACACGGUCCAGACUCCUACGGGAGGCGGCAGUAGGGAAUCUUCCGCAAUGGGCGAAAGCCUGACGGAGCAACGCCGCGUGAGUGAUGAAGGUCUUCGGAUCGUAAAACUCUGUUAUUAGGGAAGAACAAACGUGUAAGUAACUGUGCACGUCUUGACGGUACCUAAUCAGAAAGCCACGGCUAACUACGUG
rnacentral:rRNA from 1 species